GGUUUGAUUAUGGCUCAGAUUGAACGCUGGCGGGAUGCUUUACACAUGCAAGUCGAACGGCCAGCACGGACUUCGGUCUGACUGGCGAGGGUGGCGAACAGGUGAUAAUGUAUCCGGAACGUGCCCUGGUGGCGGGGAUAACUACGCUGAAAGCGUAGCUAAUACCGCAUACGCCCUUCGAAGCGGGGGACGCUGGGCCUCACUUACUAAUGGAAGCGGCCGAUAUCGGAUUAGCUAGUUGGUGGGAUAACGGCUCACAGGGCGACGUCCGUAGCUGGUUUGAGGGACGAUAACUUCACUGGGACUGAGACACGGCUGAACUCCUACGGGAGGCAGCGGUGGGGAAUUUUGGACAAUGGAAACCACAAGUCCAGCCAUCCCGCGUGUGCGAUGAAGGCCUUCGGGAUUGUAAAGGCACUCGGCGGGGAAAGAAACGGCACGGGAUAAUACCCCGUGCAACUGACGGUACCUGCAGAACGAAAGCACCGGCUAACUACGUGCCAAGCGGCGCGGUAAUACGUAGGGUGCAAGCGUUAAUCGGAAUUACUGGGCGCCUUAAAGCGUGCGCGAGCGGACCGGAAAGAAAAGAUGUGAAAUCCCAGAGCUUAACUUUGGAACUGCAUUUUUAACUACCGAGCUAGAGUGUGUCAGGGAGGUGGAAUUCGCGUGUAGCAGUGAAAUGCGUAGAUAUGCGGAGGAACACCGAUAGCGAAGGCCGCCUCCUGGGAUAACACUGACGCUCAUGCACAGCAUUAGAGGGAGCAAACGGGAUUAGAUACCUGGUAGUCCGCCCUAAACGAUGUCAACUAUUUGAGCGCUUCGGGCCUUGGUAGCGCAGCUAACGCGUGAAGUUGACCGCCUGGGAAGUACGGUCGCAAGAUUAAAAGCAAGGAGUUGACGGGGACCCGCACAAGCGGUGGACAGUGUGAUUAAUUCGAUGCAGCGAAAAACCUUUUCACCCUUGACAUGUCUGGGAAUCCCGAAGAGAUUUGGGAGUGCUCGCAAGAGAACCGGAGCUGGAGUGCUGCAUGGCUGUCGUCAGAAAGCUCGUGUCGUGAGAUGUUGGGUUAAGUCCCGCAACGAGCGCAACCCUUGUCAUGGUUGCUGAAAGGGCCUCUAAUGGACUGCCGGUGACAAACCGGAGGAAGGUGGGGAUGACGUCAAGUCCUCGCGGCCCUUAUGGGUAGGGCUUCACACGUCAUACAAUGGUCAGGACAGAGGGUCGCCAACCCGCGAGGGGAGCCAAUCCCAGAAACCCGAUCGUAGUCCGGAUACGCAGUCUGCAACUCGACUGCGUGAAGUCGGAAUCGCUAGUGGAUCAACAUGUCGCAUUUGAUACGUUCCAGGUCUUGUACACACCCGUCACACCAUGGGAGUGGGUUUUGCAGAAGUAGUUAGCCUAACCGUAAGGAGGGGCGAUUACCACGGUAGGAUUCAUGACUGGGGUGAAGUCAUGCUAAAGUAG
rnacentral:rRNA from 1 species